rnacentral:lncRNA from 1 species
UACCGUACAAAAUGAGUAAAAAUUACAAAAAUUUUAGGUUAUAUAUAAGCCCUUUACAUGAAGAAAAAAUUCUAGUAAAAUGACAAUGUUAAAAAUUGCUUCCCCGACGUAACAUUUGGUAAUCUCCUUGUAUAAAACCCUGAGCCACCAUAUCAUUACCUGUUAGUAUUGUAGGUAAUUACCUUCAAUAUGUGGUUUAAUGAUAAUAUAAACUGACAUAAUUAACUUUUAUAACCUGACGGUGCGAAAAUAUGAUACACUAUAUAUCAACAAACAAAGUAAACCUCUAUAAUGAAUUGUAUCUUUAGAGAUAAAGAACUUAUCAUACUUUGGUGCAGUUUCCUAGCAAUACAUAUUAAAUUUUACCUUUAAGCAAAUUGACUGUGAUAAGCAAAUUUUACCUCUCCACCAACGGCCUCUGUAACAAUUGGAGUCCCCUCAAUCUCCGUUUGAGAAACGGUGACACCCUUAUCUCUGGCUAUAUCUGUCAUGUCAUUACGGCCAACGCCACCGAAUCGCUGAUUCAGAACGGCAGCUGACUGCAUAAUUGAAGCAGGACCGCCUUUUGGAAUGUGACCCAGUUCCUUGUUCUCAGCCGAUUGUAUUGACGCUGCAUCUUUAGGCGCUAUGGGUUUUGAAGCAAUUUUUUCUGAGACUUCAAAUACAUCCCCAUAUUUGUAACGAUUCGCACGUUGGAAUCGUCAUGGAAAUGGAAAUGAAAAACAAGAACUAAAAAGAAAGAAACGAAAUGCAGAGAAAAAAAAAAGACUCAAUUUUCAUUCAACAU